GUGGUAAUAACUUCUAAUAACAUAUCUCUAUUUCGUUUUCCAGGAAAACAUAUCGGAACAUUUUCACUGUGCAGGGCAUAAAGACAGCUGGUGUGACGUCAUAGCCUCGUUCCCAGGCCUUAUGUGGUCUUUCCUUCUCUCGCAUUCGACGAAAAUGGAAAACUUUGGAACCAUGUUAAAAGGCAGUAGAUAAAGAGAUAUCAAAG